AUUUGGGAAUGCUGGAUGGUUUCUGAAUAACUUGAUGUAUUGCCCAAGUCCUGUCUAUCAAGGAGUAUGUGUGUGGGGUAUGUGUGAUUCAGUGUGGUAUGUGGGUGUGAUUAGUGGGAUGUGUCUUCUUGUGUGUGUGUUUAUGUAGGUAUGUAGGGUAUGUGUGAUUCAGUGUGGUAUGUGGGUAUGUGAUUAGUGGGAUGUCUUUUUCAGUGUGUGUGUGUGUGUGUGUGUUUAUGUAGGGUGUGGGGAUAUGAUAAGUGGAAAGUGACCUUGUGUAUGUGUGUGUGUGUGUGUGUGUGUGUGUGUGUGUGUGUGUGUGUGUGUGUGUGUGUGUGUGUGUGUGUGUGUAACUCAUCUACUGUCACAUUCUUGGUCUGGGUUAGUGCAAAUUCAUAUGUGUCGAGGGUCUGAAGUCCUUAGGUUUUCUCUGGGUCACAUGCCUUCAGCAGUAGACCAGUGUGUGUGUGUGUGUGUGUGUUUGUGUGUGUGUGUGUGUGUGUGUUACUUUAAAUAAUUCCAUCUCUCUUGGUAUCCACUGUCCCCUACCCUGACAUACCUUCAUACUGUCAGUCCCUUAAAGCUGUAUGUAUGAGGUUUCCAAGAAUGACCCCCCUUCCCCCCCGUCCCCCCCUUUUUUUUAGAUCGCCGAAGUCAAGUUUUCCACCAUAGACUUAAUUAUUUUUAGUGGGUUGUAGAUUUUUUUUCAUCCCUUCCCUUAUUUUAGAUCUUUUUCCCUUCCCUUAUUUUAGAUCUUUUUCCCUUCCCUUAUUUUAGAUUUUUUUCCCUUCCCUUAUUUUAGAUGUUUUCCCUUCCCUUAUUUUAGAUUUUUUCCCUUCCCUUAUUUUAGAUUUUUUUCCCUUCCCUUAUUUUAGACGUUUUCCCUUCCCUUAUUUGAUUUUCCGUCCUUUGAUUUUACAUGCAUCAACUUUUUGCAAUCACCAAAGUUUAGUUUGAUUUUGAUAUUUCCUGAUUUUCACUUUAUAAUGACAACAUAUGUAAUGGAAGACAGAUACAAAUUGCACUGUGGCCUUUGUCAAACCCCUCAGUGCUUUUUAUUAGAAUCCAUAGCAAUUAAGACCCUAAACCCAACUAGCGAUCAUUUUAAUACCCUCUAGUCCUCUCUUAGGUUCAUGCAUUGUUAGGGUUCAGCCAGGCUCCCUAGAAUUCAGGUUUGGUUCUGCAGUGUUCGUGUAAAUUGUAGAGUCCUCCCCGCCACACAGACAUCAUUUUCAGGCCUUUUAGCUUACCUUAGACCCUUAGCUAGGCAGUGUGAGGCAUUGUUAGGGACCAUAUAGUGUCUAGGGGUCAUUUUAGUGGUCUGUUAGAAGAAUAGGCAAUGUUAGGGUCUGUGGGGUGCAUUUUAGUGGUCCCUUAGAAGAAUAGGCAAUGUUAGGGUCUGUAGGGGUCAUUUUAGUGGUCCC